AUUUGUUUCUGUGCUUCCAAAGUCAACCUCCCCGGUGACUGCCAAAAUUUUCCUCCAAAUUCUCCGCUUUUGCUUGGAUUUUCCAUUUCUCAAAAGAUUAAAUUUCUUCAUAUGGGAAUCCACCCUGCCUCUGUCGUAACCCAAAAAUCUCCAAUUCACUAUUGACUGAGUCGACUAUCCUUGAAUUCCUUACCUUUUUCUCUCUAAACAUUGCUUCGCAAAGUAAUUAUUUCACACACAAAUCUGUAUGCUUUUCUCUUGGGUAGUUUCCUGAUUUCUUAGUUCUCUGCUAUUGAUUUGAACUCUUUCAAUACAAAACAAUGGAUGACAUGAAAGGCAAGUUCAAGGGUUUAAUGAAGAAAGUGAAUACACAAUUAUCAUCGUCUUCCUCUGGUAAAUUCAAGGGCCAUGGUCGAGUUUUGGGUGGUGCCUCCUCUUCUUCAUCAGGACCCACUAACCCUAUUCACGCCCGGUAUUCUCAACCCAUUAACCAAAAGCCAACACCAACCACUUCUUCACUCAAUUCUUCUUCGAAUUCCAAGCCCUUGCCUCAAAAAACACCCAAGUUUGAUCAAAACAAACCUGAUCCUCUUAACAACUCAACCCCAAAUCGCAAACCCGCUGAUGAGUUUUAUCCAUUUGACUCGUUGAUUACUUCUGGAAAAAGAUCUCAAAAUGGCUAUUCAUUGAAUGUGUUUGAAUGCCCGAUUUGUGGACAAUCAUAUAAAUCACAAGAAGAGGUUUCUAUGCAUGUAGAAAGCUGUGCCAAUAAAAACAACAACAAAGGUUCGGUUGAUGAAGGAAAUGUUACGGGAGAAUCUAGUAGUGGCGAAUUGCAGGCUUCUGUCGGUAUGUAUUUGUCAGGGAAGCCGCCCGCGGGGUCUGUGGAAGUUGCGCUUCGACUGUUCAGAAAUGUUGUUAGGGAGCCAGAUAAUGCAAAGUUCAGGAAGAUUAGAAUGGGGAAUCCAAAGAUUAGGGAGGCUAUCAGUGAGGUUACAGGAGGGGUUGAAUUGUUGGAGUGUAUCGGAUUUGAGCUGAAGGAGGAGGGUGGAGAAAUAUGGGCGGUUAUGGAGGUUCCUAAUGAGGAGAGAAUGAGAUUGAUUAAUGAGGUGAUUGGGUUAUUAGAACCUAGAAAGGUAGAGGAGGAGAUGCAGAAGGUAGAGGUUGCUCCCGCUGGGACAGAGGAGCAAGUUGAGCCAAAGAAGAUUGACAGGCAGAUCCGGGUCUUCUUCUCUGUCCCUGAAAGUGUAGCAGCAAAAAUUGAGCUGCCAGAUUCAUUUUACAACCUGUCUCUUGAAGAGCUGAAAAGAGAAGCUGAUGCAAGGAAGAAAAAAAUUGCAGAAUCUCAGCUAUUGAUUCCUAAGUCUUACAAAGAGAAGCAGGCAAAAGCUGCCAGGAAGAGAUACAGAAGAACCCUUAUACGUUUCCAAUUUCCUGAUGGAGUGGUGCUUCAGGCUGUCUUUGCUCCUUGGGAACCGACUAGUGCUCUCUAUAAGUUUGUGAGCACAUCACUAAAGGACCCCAAUUUGGAGUUUGAGCUGCUAGAUCCUGUAAUGGUCAAACGACGGGUAAUCCCUCAUUUUCCUGCUGCAGGAGAGAGAAUCUCUACACUAGAAGAUGAAGAUCUGGUUCCUUCAGCUCUCAUCAAGUUCAGGCCUAUUGAAACUGAAUCAUCAGUCUUCACAGGGCUCUGUAAUGAACUCCUGGAGAUUAGUGAACCUCUUAAUUGAUUCUGAAGUAUGAAAACAAGUAACUAUAUCAUUACCUGUGAGCGCUUCAGCUCAAGCUUGAAGCGAGCUAUAUUACAUAUUAGGAGCGGGUGACAAUUUCAAAGUUUUGCUCUUUUUCCAGUUACAUUUUUCAGUCAAAUUGUAUUUUGUAUUCCAAAAUUUUCAUUGGCAAAAAGAUUAUAGUUACCAACAAGUGAUACUGAAAUCGUCUCAGAAAGAAGAUCUUACCCCCUCAAGAAAUCCAGGAAACGGCACAGAAAUGUGCUUUUCCCUCCCAAAUCACCUUUUAAUUUUCUCUAAUAGUGGUCAAAUAGACAGCUUAUUUAUACAUGAAGCAUUUCUUAGCAUAGCUCACAAACUCAUAUGCAUUACCGUAAACAAAGAAAACAGUAACUUUACUCAUUCUAAUUAUAAUUUAUUACAUCAGAAAGAAUAAGAAUAACCGAACAAUCAUCAAAUUCAUUUACAUUCUGAACUCAAAAACCAUCCAACUGCAGCCAAUCCGAACAGUCACAAUUCCUAUGAUUAUGCCCCUUUCUAAACAGAACUGCAUGAAGACAUUUCAUUAAUUAUUACACCAUUUUGUUUUGAAAUUUUGUGUCACAGAGUUCAUUUCAAUAAAGAAAUAAAAGAGUUAAUCUGAAAGUAUCAUGUCAAUGAAGCUUUUACGCUUUCUUUUUAGCUGAUGCUUUUUGCUUCUCCAAUUGUUCAAAAAGACUUCCAUCGUAAACAGCUCUCACUGUUUCUUUCUGCAGUAAACCAUUACUGUCCUUGCAAAGAAUGUAUAGUGUUUUCCAUUCUGUCCAGCUUGCAACCCUGCAUUAAUUGAAUUUCAUAAUUUAUUAAUUUCCAACAGUUUUUAUUACGUAUAAAAAUUGUGUUAAAUUUUACAAAAAAAUCUGAAACCAACCAUCCUAGAUAGUCUUUAGGUUCUCUGUUCGCCCUUAGCAUUCCCAUCAGUUCACCUGAUGUCAGUGCAUCUGGAUGUGUACGCGCAUGCUUGCAAAAAACGGCUUCGAAUUUCUCGUCAACAAAUCUGCAAAUAUUAAUAAAUAAAACGAUCAAAACAUUUACAAGAGAAAUACUUGUCCAACCCAAAAUUCUAAGCUUAGUAAGAUAACAUCUAUAUCUUUAAAGAAAGGAAAAGUAUAUUCUUCACCAUCAAGAUUUAGCUAUCAAGUUGUUUGGCAAGAAAGAAAAUGAAUUAUACCUUCCAUCCUUGUCAUAGACUCCAGAAUCGCUUCCAUGUUUGCCUAGCUGAAUGUUCUGAACCUCAAUUGGGAAUAGUAAAGAAGGAUACUUUCCCUGCCAAAUUGCCAAUAUCAAUCAGGAAACUUUUGAUUUAAUCCAUUAUGCCUAUUAUUUUUUCACUUUUUUUUUUCUUUAGUGAUUUUUUUUUUUUGAAGAUAAAGAUUGGUUUAAAGUUUAAUGAACAUGCAAGGAGUAUGGAUUCUAUUAAAUAUGAAGAGAUACAAAACAAAACAAAGCAAAGCAAAGCAGGUAAUUACUAGGUGAUGCUAGGUGAUGUUCUUGUGUGGUCUAUACAUGCCAAGCAAAAGAGCAAGUCCAAGAAUUUUGAAUUUUCCUUUUGUUUUGGAGUUUGCUAGGUGAUGUUCUUGUGUAGUCUAUAUAUGCCACCACAAAACAAAGCAGGUGAUUAACAGGUGAUGCUUUAAUUAAUGGGUAACUAAAGUAUUAUGGAAAACCAAUUAAAUUAAAUUUAAUUGGCAAUAAUAGCCUUUUAACUUUGUCUAACUACUUCUAUAUAAUUAUAUAUUCUCUAUGAUUUUGGGUCUAGGUAUAUUUAUUAGGGCAAAGCAGGGGAAAAAGUAUAUUAAGGCAUUGAUGCUCUUGAAUGUGAGUUGAUGUGUGCACAUGAUAGCAAUAUUUAUUAGCAUUAAACAAGUUUUGAGAAGGUGAUGUUUCCCCUUAAUGUAGCUGUCAAACCAAUUACACUUGCAAAGAUAACUAACGCCUUCUCCAUCUCACCAACUUGUAACUUCACUAAGUAAUACUAAUAUUUUAAUUAUUAAAUAUAUUAACUUGAAUUAUCUAAUUACUU
rnacentral:misc_RNA from 1 species